AUGUAUUGGUGGAGAUCCUGCUCCGGCUCCCUCCGAGCUCGCGGCGCCGCGCCCGCCUCGUCUGCAGGCUGUGGCGCGACAUCAUCGGCGAACGUGCCACGGAUAGUUCGCAGGCUGUGGCCCUCCUGUGGGGCAUCAGCUCCGGCGUCGCCUACACCGUCGACGACCUCUCGUCGUCCUCGACGGGGAGACGCAGGGAGCUGUGGAGGAGCCCUAGCGGCCGCCCUGUUACGACUAACUUGCACAACGACUGGCAGCUGGUCGGCACGUGCAAUGGCCUGCUCUGUAUAUGCCACAACGGUGGCGCGACGAUCGGCGGCGAGAUCACCCUGGUCAACCCAGCAACGAGCGAAACGUUGCCCGUCCCCCCACUGCCAUGCAAUGGCCAUUUCCGCCGGGAGCGGCUCUGCAGGCGGGAGUGAGAUAGGGCGUACAACUUCGCGUACCACCCCAAGUCCCGGCACUACAAGGUGGUGCACGUCCCCUGCAGCUUCGACGGGGUCUACGAGUACGACGCCGUGCACGUUCUCACGCUUGGGGACGGCGCAUGGCGGGAGGCUCCGGCCCCCGGCGGCGCGAGGUGCAACCUCAACGCCGGCAUUGUCAGCAUCGACGGUGUGA
rnacentral:rRNA from 1 species